GAUGAACGCUGGCGGCGUGCCUAAUACAUGCAAGUCGAGCGAACAGACGAGGAGCUUGCUCCUCUGACGUUAGCGGCGGACGGGUGAGUAACACGUGGAUAACCUACCUAUAAGACUGGGAUAACUUCGGGAAACCGGAGCUAAUACCGGAUAAUAUAUUGAACCGCAUGGUUCAAUAGUGAAAGACGGUUUUGCUGUCACUUAUAGAUGGAUCCGCGCCGCAUUAGCUAGUUGGUAAGGUAACGGCUUACCAAGGCAACGAUGCGUAGCCGACCUGAGAGGGGGAUCGGCCACACUGGAACUGAGACACGGUCCAGACUCCUACGGGAGGCAGCAGUAGGGAAUCUUCCGCAAUGGGCGAAAGCAUGACGGAGCAACGCCGCGUGAGUGAUGAAGGUCUUCGGAUCGUAAAACUCUGUUAUUAGGGAAGAACAAAUGUGUAAGUAACUAUGCACGUCUUGACGGUACCUAAUCAGAAAGCCACGGCUAACUACGUG
rnacentral:rRNA from 1 species